CUAAGAAUCUUGCGCAAUGGGCGAAAGCCUGACGCAGCAAUUCCGCGUGGGGGACGAAGGCCCUCGGGUCGUAAACCCCUUUUGCGAGGGAAGAAGUACUGACGGUACCUCGCGAAUAAGACACGGCUAACUACGUGCCAGCAGCCGCGGUAAUACGUAGGUGUCAAGCGUUGUCCGGAUUUAUUGGGCGUAAAGCGCCCGCAGGCGGCUUGCCAAGUUCGAUGUGAAAUCUCCCGGCUUAACUGGGAGGGUGCAUCGAAAACUGGCAGGCUUGAGGCAGGGAGAGGGAUGUGGAAUUCCAGGUGUAGUGGUGAAAUUCGUAGAUAUCGGGAGGAACACCAGUGGCGAAGGCGGCGAUCUGGGCAGAUACUGACGCUGAGGUGCGAAAGCGUGGGGAGCAAA
rnacentral:rRNA from 1 species